rnacentral:rRNA from 1 species
GACGAACGCUGGCGGCGUGCUUAACACAUGCAAGUCGAACGGAAAGGCCUGCUUUCCCUUGUGGAUUGCGGGUACUCGAGUGGCGAACGGGUGAGUAACACGUGAGUGAUCUGCCCCCAACUUGGAUAUAAGCCUGGGAAACUGGGUCUAAUUCCCGAUAGGACUGCAGGGUGGUGCCUGUGGUGGAAAACGAUUUUCUAGUGGUUGGGGAUGAGCUCGCGGCCUAUCAGCUUGUUGGUGGGGUAAUGGCCUACCAAGGCGGCGACGGGUAGCCGGCCUGAGAGGGUGGACGGCCACAUUGGGACUGAGAUACGGCCCAGACUCCUACGGGAGGCAGCAGUGGGGAAUAUUGCACAAUGGGCGGAAGCCUGAUGCAGCGACGCCGCGUGGGGGAUGACGGCCUUCGGGUUGUAAACUCCUUUCGACCGCGAGGAAACCACCUGGUUGGAAGGGUGGUGACGGUAGUGGUAGAAGAAGCACCGGCUAACUACGUG